UACGGAGGAGGCAAGCGUUAUCCGGAAUUAUUGGGCGUAAAGCGUCCGCAGGUGGCACUUCAAGUCUGCUGUCAAAGACCGGGGCUUAACCCCAGAAAGGCAGUGGAAACUGAAGUGCUAGAGUGCAGUAGGGGUAGAGGGAAUUCCCGGUGUAGCGGUGAAAUGCGUAGAGAUCGGGAAGAACAUCGGUGGCGAAAGCGCUCUGCGUGGACUGCAACUGACACUCAGGGACGAAAGCUAGGGGAGCGAAUGGG
rnacentral:rRNA from 1 species